rnacentral:lncRNA from 1 species
GGGGAAUUCGGUUGAGUCUUCAGGUCGCCAACUUUGCUUUGCUCAGGUUCGGCCUCCUCUGGGAUGGUGCACUCUACUAUGAAAUCUGCCAAUAUUUGGGCCUUUAUUGCUGGUCUAGAUUUGUAGUUGAUGUCGAAUUCUGUGAGCUCGAUUGUCCAUUUUGCCAUUCUUCCAGAGGUAUCAGCUCGGUGCAAAACCGCCUUGAUCGGUUGAUCGGUGAGUAGCGUCACCGUGUGCCCUUGAAAGUAAGGUCGGAGUCUCCGAGCUGCAAUCAACAAGGCGUAGGUCAGUUUUUCUAAUUUAGUAUACCUGGUCUC